CUUUUUAAGAUUUUUUUGAUUUUAUUUUAAGAUGACGUGAUUUUAUCUGCGAUUAGGAUUUAAAUACACAAGCAAAGCGAAGGCUUGGUAUAUUUUUACGAUAAAAGUCUGCAGUCCAAUGUUUAUGAAGAAAUGUUUCAAAUAGUUUCACAAAUUCUCAGCCGUCAACAAUCUGCCGACACUCUCACUUCAUAAUACACAUACUGAACUCUGAACAGAAACUUCGUGUUAUAUAAUUUGGUUUUUAAUACUUUGCAGUUUGCACGAACGUGUAUAAUUUGACUUUGGGUCAACAACUCUGAAACACACCAACCUAUUAUUAUGUGUCGCGUAAAUAUGCCGUCGUACACGCCACACGGUGGAUAUUGAUAUUUAAGUCGGGCUUCAGCCCUGGCGAGCACACCUCCGUUUGACGAUGGAGAACGGCUGAUUCUAUUAAACGGUCGUCUGCAUUUGGUUAUCACUGUCUUCGCGCGAACCGAUAACGCGCUGUUUAGGUGAAAUCUGACCUCAAAGUCGUGUCGACCCUCAUCGUCGUUUGACAAUGUGCGCGAAACGCAAGUGAUGUAUAGGUACUCUCCCUCGUUGAAGGUCAAACAGCAUACCCGCACAAGAUGAGUUGUAGACAGUUGUCGAGUAGUGGGUUAUCGUGGUAUUGCAUUACACGUGUUACAGAAAUUAUUACACGUUUUAAAUACACUGCAGUAUUGUCGACAUGAUAAUUGUUGUUACGCCAAAUGUUGGAUGUGUUUUUAAUACUAAAAAUAUAUCAAACGCGCGGGAACGAUAUGCCAUUAGGUUUUUUCCCAUUGUUUUCAUCCGUUCAUUUAAUGACCUCUUUCUCUAUUAUCAUUUGUGGACUUGUUGCGGCGUUUAUGGCAUU